ensembl:rRNA 5S_rRNA 5S ribosomal RNA
UUUCUAGGCCAAACCACCCUGAACAUGCCCAAUAUUGUCUGAUCUCAGAACUUAAGCAGGGUUGGGCCUGGUUAGUACUUGGAUGGGAAAAUUCCAAGAGAUCUUCAUAA